rnacentral:misc_RNA from 1 species
UAAGAAAAGAGAACUAUAGAGAGAAAAUGAAAGGAACCCCAUUCGCGUUUCGCUCAUAUCAAAACGCUGCGUUUUAUUCACCGCCCUUUCUUCAGCACAUUACAUCCUUCAGAAGCUUGUACCUCCGCGUGGUCGGCCUCGGCGACGGAGUACCACCGCCGCCGCCGUGUUUCCCCUUCUCGAUCGCGGUGGCAGAAUCAUCAUGAUGGUGCUUGAUUUUGUCGCCGGAAUACUCGGAGCGGUUGAUGAUUCCGGCGGCGUUUGUACCCGACGACGGUAGUCUCCGGGAGGAGCUUCCGUGUGAUCGGGAGGAACUCCGACCUUCACACUGACACCAAUCACACACCUCUAUUGGCUCCGCCGAUUCGCUAUAGUAAUUGCUGCAGUAUGAGUGUUGGAAGCGGUUGCGGCACUUGUUACAGCGGAAGAGCUUGUCAGGGAAACCG